GUGUCAGCCGCCGCGGUAAGACAGAGGCCUCAAGCGUUAGGCGGAAUCACUGGGCUUAAAGCGUGUGUAGGCGGACUUUUAAGUGCCUUGUGAAAUCCCACGGCUUAACCGUGGAAUGGCUGGGCAUACUGGGAGUCUUGAGCUGUCUAGGGGCGACUGGAACAAACGGUGGAGCGGUGAAAUGCGUAGAUAUCGUUUGGAACGCCAAUGGUGAAAACAGGUCGCUGGGGACAUGCUGACGCUGAGACACGAAAGCCAGGGGAGCAAACGGGAUUAGAUACCCCUGUAGUCC
rnacentral:rRNA from 1 species